rnacentral:misc_RNA from 1 species
GAAAUGCGAUAAGUAAUGUGAAUUGCAGAAUUCAGUGAAUCAUCGAAUCUUUGAACGCACAUUGCGCCCGCCAGUAUUCUGGCGGGCAUGCCUGUUCGAGCGUCAUUACAACCCUCAGGCCCCCGGGCCUGGCGUUGGGGAUCGGCGGAAGCCCCCUGCGGGCACAACGCCGUCCCCCAAAUACAGUGGCGGUCCCGCCGCAGCUUCCAUUGCGUAGUAGCUAACACCUCGCAACUGGAGAGCGGCGCGGCCACGCCGUAAAACACCCAACUUCUGAAUGUUGACCUCGAAUCAGGUAGGAAUACCCGCUGAACUUAAGC